GCGGAGUUCUCCCGAGGAAGGUAGGCUACGGCCGGACCCGCGCGGGUCAGGCCAGGAGGUCCCUUGGGACGUCCAGCUGCUCCGGUCUAGCGCGCUGACCGGCGGCCACUGUGUGAGGAAUUUGAGGCUUAAGCAACUUCUUCCGGGGAAGAGUGCCAGUGCAGCCACUGUUACAAUUCAAGAUCUUGAUCUAUAUCCAUAGAUUGGAAUAUUGGUGGGCCAGCAAUCCUCAGACGCCUCACUUAGGACAAAUGAGGAAACUGAGGCUUGGUGAAGUUACGAAACUUGUCCAAAAUCACACAACUUGUAAAGGGCACAGCCAAGAUUCAGAGCCAGGCUGUAAAAAUUAAAAUGAACAAAUUACGGCAAAGUUUUAGGAGAAAGAAGGAUGUUUAUGUUCCAGAGGCCAGUCGUCCACAUCAGUGGCAGACAGAUGAAGAAGGCGUUCGCACCGGAAAAUGUAGCUUCCCGGUUAAGUACCUUGGCCAUGUAGAAGUUGAUGAAUCAAGAGGAAUGCACAUCUGUGAAGAUGCUGUAAAAAGAUUGAAAGCU
rnacentral:lncRNA from 1 species